UUAAGUUCGUCGCUGGCUUGUAGUGAGCCUCGAACUUUUCCAUGAGCUUUUCCACGUCUUGCUUCUCUGCCUCAUCUUCAAAGGUAAAGGUAUAGAACGCCCGCCUUGCUUCUUCACCAAUUAUCACAAGAAAUGUCGCGGCCUGAACUUCUUUAGGCUGCUUCCUUCGUCCGG
rnacentral:lncRNA from 1 species